rnacentral:tRNA from 1 species
UAAGAGUGCCAGAUAGUAUGGGAUGGAUUUAGGUUCCUUUUAGGAUUUUUAAUCCUCUUGC